rnacentral:lncRNA from 1 species
UGCAGUGUCAGUUGGAGCAGAGAGGAUCGAUGUGUGGCUUUAUGUUUUGGGAUUGCUGAGUUUUUUUUGAUUCUUUAUGUGCUUUGCUUUAGACUUGUUUCCCUUAGUUUUCUUUUAUUGCUAAACAUUUAAAGUGAAUCAGUGUUUUUGGAAAAGGAGUUACACAAGUAUUCAGGUCCAGUCUCACCUUCUCAGCAGCUUUUCAUUUGUUCCUGAAGUUGCUAAAAUUUGCCAACAAAAAUUCAUCUACAGAAGAAUCUCUACAUGGAGCAUGGCGUCAAGGAUGGAGAGGUUUAAAGUUAACAAAUAUGGAUCCAGACACGGAGCACCUCACAAGGAAGGCGCACACCCUCAUCAAGAGCUGCUCUAUGGCCACAGAAUCUGGUCAGAAGAGAUUUUCCAGUGCCUACUCCCCUGGGUUCAGGAGGGUGAAGUGGAACAGGUACAUCCUAAUGCAGUUUAUGAACACAUGACUGGUUAUCAUGUCUUCAACUCGCACUGAGCUGACAUCAGUGUGGUUGUUGAUCCUGCAAAACAGGAUGGUUUAAAC